CCAUCUCCCCUGCCCGUCCGUGCUCGGUGUCGAGCUCGACAUGCUCUUCACCGCCACUACUCCCUUCCUAGCAUGAGUUGGUGACUCGCCCAUCAACGGCUACCGCCCCAUCUUGCAGGCGCGCCGCGCGGGGACGGGCUAACACCUACUCGCCGUCGCCGACGACCUCGUAACCUCCCUCAUCGUCGUGCUCAACUACAACAGGAUCGGGCCCUACUCCACCUGUAGUUUUGGCCUCCGAUCCACGUUGCCGGACUCCGGUUUAGAUUCGGGAAUGAGACUAGAACGAGUGGAGUACCGCAGGUUUCCCCACCCCAUCCAUCUAGGGUUUGGAUCAUCUCCUUUUCAUGCUUUUCAAUUCCUGCAUUGCUAGUUGAUUCCAAACAUAAUUUUGUUCACCUCAGAUUCGUGUGACAUCUCCAUGUCAAUAUUUUGGUUUUUGUUCCCUGUUUGUUGGUGUGAAUUUGUGCCAUACAUUAUCUAUUGGAUCACUAAAUCUGUAGUCCACUUUUUGUGAAAUUUGUAUGUAUAAUCACUCAAACAUGCCUGCCUAGUUGGUGGCAGAAGGUUCCCAGUACCACUAAUGAUUUCAGUGCACUGUUUUGUGUUUCUUACCAUGAUGCACCAACAUUUAAUAGUUUUGCUUCUCUUGGACUAGAGAAUUGCUUCCACUUGACAGACAAAAAUCGGUUAAAGUUGUAUGUAUGUGACACAAAAUAUGUAUCCUCAUGGUGGCCACAAUAUUAAUAUGUUUUUCAUUAUCAAUGUUUUGUCUUUCAACAAAGAAUUGUAAUAUGUAGGUGCCAUAUUUCCAUAUUUUCUACAAAAUAUCAUACUCUGUUUAAGAAAUAAGCUUCUUACUAUCGAUGCCUUUCUUCGAUACAAUUGAAAUUUUAAUUUAUUCAUGAAGCACAACUUUAUGCAUCUAAUUAAUCUAGGAAUCCGAGUUUUACACCUCGGUGCGUCUUUUAUAUAUGUUGUAAGAAAAUGAAGCUAUUGCUUCCUAUCAACCAUGCUUCCUCUAGUUUAUUGCACAUGAUUCUCGGUAAGGAACUUUUUGCUUCAUACAUUGUAGUGUGUGCUACUUUUAUUAUACAAACAUUUUGCUAAAACCAUUAUUAGAUACUACUGUAUGCUUCAAUCGCUAGUACUGUCUGCUUCAACCAUUGGCAGUGUUGCUUCUGUUUGUACAUUUUAUUAUACAUUGAUUUUACUUGUUUUAGUGAAUAUUUGUAUCAGCCAUUAAAUUAUGUGCUUCCUUCUUUCUCACUUUUUGCUUCAAUUGUACAGCUUCCAAAUGAGAUGAUGUAAUGUAUUGAGGGCGAGAUCAACAAGGCACUGCUCUAAGGUUUGAUUGCACCAUGAACGAUGUAGAGAGCUCGUGGCGCACGCAGAUAUUGUCAUGAUCAGAUUGUCCAGCGCCCG
rnacentral:lncRNA from 1 species